UUCCGGUUGAUCCUGCCGGAGACUACUGCUAUCAGAGUCCGACUAAGACAUGCAAGAUGAGUGGGUUUAGACCCACAUCGGAAGGCUCAGUAACACGUAGUUAAUCUAACCUCAGGUCAGGCAUAAUCCCGGGAAACUGGGCGGAAUACCUGAUAGGGAAAGGGUACUGGAACCGUCCCUUUCUUCAAAGUUCCGACGCCUGAGGAUGAGACUGCGGCGGAUUAGGUAGUUGCGGGUGUAACGUACCUGCAAGCCGAUAAUCCGUACGGGCGUUGAGAGACGUAGCCCGGAGAUGUGUUCUGAGACAAAAACACAGGCCCUACGGGGCGCAGCAGUUACGAAACCUUUACAAUGCGCGAAAGCGUGAUAGGGGGACUCUGAGUGCCAUAGCACUGCUAUGGCUUUUCUGAAGUCAAAAUAGCUUCAGGAAUAAGGGGUGGGCAAGACGGGUGCCAGCCGCCACGGUAAUACCCGCGCCCCAAGCGGUAGUCACGUUUAUUGGGCCUAAAGCGUCCGUAGCUGGUCUGAAAAGUCCCUGAUCAAAUCCUCCGUAGACCGGAGGCUCAUCAGGGAAACUCUCAGACUAGGGACCGGGAAAGGCAGAGGGUACUCCAGGGGUAGGGGUAAAAUCCUAUAAUCCUUGGGGGGCCACCUGUGGCGAAGGCGCUCUGCUGGAACGGCUCCGACAGUGAGGGACGAAAGCGUGGGGAGCGACCCGGAUUAGAUACCCGGUUAGUCCACGCCGUAAACGAUGCCCGCUUGGUGUGUCGUUCCUUUCGGGGGAGCGACGUGUCGUAGCGUAGGUGUUAAGCGGGCCGCCUGGGGAGUACGGUCGCAAGACUGAAACUUAAGGGAAUUGGCGGGGGAGCACCUCAAGGGGUGGAUGCUGCGGUUUAAUUGGAUUCAACGCCGGA
rnacentral:rRNA from 1 species